rnacentral:rRNA from 1 species
CAGUCGCCAUGGUAAUACGAAGGGUGCAAGCGUUAAUCGGAAUUACUGGGCGUAAAGCGUGCGCAGGCGGUUUGUUAAGACAGAUGUGAAAUCCCCGGGCUUAACCUGGGAACUGCAUUCGUGACUGGCCGGCUAGAGUAUGGCAGAGGGAGGUGGAAUUCCACGUGUAGCAGUGAAAUGCGUAGAUAUGUGGAGGAACACUGAUGGCGAAGGCAGCCUCCUGGGCCAAUACUGACGCUCAUGCACGAAAGCGUGGGGAGCAAACAGGAUUAGAUACCCCUGUAGUCCCUGUCUCUUAUAC